AGUGAACGCUGGCGGUAGGCCUAACACAUGCAAGUCGAACGGCAGCACAGUAAGAGCUUGCUCUUACGGGUGGCGAGUGGCGGACGAGUGAGGAAUACAUCGGAAUCUACUUUUUCGUGGGGGAUAACGUAGGGAAACUUACGCUAAUACCGCAUACGACCUACGGGUGAAAGCAGGGGAUCUUCGGACCUUGCGCGAUUGAAUGAGCCGAUGUCGGAUUAGCUAGUUGGCGGGGUAAAGGCCCACCAAGGCGACGAUCCGUAGCUGGUCUGAGAGGAUGAACGCCCACCAGGGAACGGGAAAAGGGCCAGACCCCCAAGGGGGGGAGAAGGGGGGAAAUUUUGAAAAAGGGGGGAACGCCGAUUCAGCCAAGCCGGGGGGGGGAAAAAGGGCUUUGGGUUUUAAAACCCUUUUUUUUGGGAAGAAAAAAGCGGGGCUAAAACCCCCGGGGUUUUAAGGGACCCGAAGAAAAAGGACCGGCUAAAUUUGGG
rnacentral:rRNA from 1 species